rnacentral:rRNA from 1 species
CAGCAGCCACGGGAAUACGUAGGUGGCAAGCGUUGUCCGGAAUUAUUGGGCGUAAAGGGCUCGCAGGCGGUUUCUUAAGUCUGAUGUGAAAGCCCCCGGCUCAACCGGGGAGGGUCAUUGGAAACUGGGAAACUUGAGUGCAGAAGAGGAGAGUGGAAUUCCACGUGUAGCGGUGAAAUGCGUAGAGAUGUGGAGGAACACCAGUGGCGAAGGCGACUCUCUGGUCUGUAACUGACGCUGAGGAGCGAAAGCGUGGGGAGCGAACAGGAUUAGAUACCCGGGUAGUCCCUGUCUCUUAUAC